rnacentral:rRNA from 1 species
GCUCGUGUCGUGAGAUGUCGCGUUAAGUCGCUGAACGAGCGAAACCCCUGUCUCCAGUUGCCAGCCUUCAGUGGGGGACUCUGGAGAGACCGCCGGCGUCAAGCCGGAGGAAGGUGGGGACGACGUCAAGUCAUCAUGGCCUUGAUGCCCAGGGCUGCACACGUGCUACAAUGGCGCGGACAAAGGGUCGCCAACCCGCGAGGGGGAGCCAAUCCCAAAAACCGCGCCUCAGUUCGGAUUGCAGGCUGCAACUCGCCUGCAUGAAGCCGGAAUCGCUAGUAAUCGCAGAUCAGCUAUGCUGCGGUGAAUGUGUUCCUGAGCCUUGUACACACCG